rnacentral:misc_RNA from 1 species
AACGCACAUUGCGCCCCCUGGUAUUCCGGGGGGCAUGCCUGUCCGAGCGUCAUUGCUGCCCAUCAAGCGCGGCUUGUGUGUUGGGCCGCCGUCCCCGCCCCCGGGGACGGGCCCGAAAGGCAGCGGCGGCACCGCGUCCGGUCCUCGAGCGUAUGGGGCUCAGUCACCCGCUCUGGAGGCCCGGCCGGCGCCCGCCGACCCCAACCUUUUUUCUUACCAGGUUGACCUCGGAUCAGGUAGGGAUACCCGCUGAACUUAA